CCUACGGGGCGCUGCAGUAGGGAAUUUUCCACAAUGGGCGAAAGCCUGAUGGAGCAACGCCGCGUGGGUGAAGAAGGUCUUCGGAUCGUAAAACCCUGUUGUUAGAGAAGAAAGUGCGCGAGAGUAACUGUUCACGUUUCGACGGUAUCUAACCAGAAAGCCACGGCUAACUACGUGCCAGCAGCCGCGGUAAUACGUAGGUGGCAAGCGUUAUCCGGAUUUAUUGGGCGUAAAGGGAACGCAGGCGGUCUUUUAAGUCUGAUGUGAAAGCCUUCGGCUUAACCGGAGUAGUGCAUUGGAAACUGGGAGACUGGAGUGCAGAAGAGGAGAGUGGAACUCCAUGUGUAGCGGUGAAAUGCGUAGAUAUAUGGAAGAACACCAGUGGCGAAAGCGGCUCUCUGGUCUGUAACUGACGCUGAGGUUCGAAAGCGUGGGUAGCAAACAGGAUUAGAUACCCCGGUAGUC
rnacentral:rRNA from 1 species